rnacentral:rRNA from 5 species
AGACCCGAAACCCGGUGAUCUAGCCAUGGGCAGGUUGAAGGUUGGGUAACACUAACUGGAGGACCGAACCGACUAAUGUUGAAAAAUUAGCGGAUGACCUGUGGCUGGGGGUGAAAGGCCAAUCAAACCGGGAGAUAGCUGGUUCUCCCCGAAAGCUAUUUAGGUAGCGCCUCGUGAAUUCAUCUCCGGGGGUAGAGCACUGUUUCGGCUAGGGGGCCAUCCCGGCUUACCAACCCGAUGCAAACUGCGAAUACCGGAGAAUGUUAUCACGGGAGACACACGGCGGGUGCUAACGUCCGUCGUGAAGAGGGAAACAACCCAGACCGCCAGCUAAGGUCCCAAAGUCAUGGUUAAGUGGGAAACGAUGUGGGAAGGCCCAGACAGCCAGGAUGUUGGCUUAGAAGCAGCCAUCAUUUAAAGAAAGCGUAAUAGCUCACUGGUCGAGUCGGCCUGCGCGGAAGAUGUAACGGGGCUAAACCAUGCACCGAAGCUGCGGCAGCGAACGUAUCACCCAAGACAACUUUACGGAGUUGACGAUUGACGGAGCGAAGCGACGUCAAAGCGUUCAUUAAAGUCGAGUUGGCUUAGGGAUACGUUCGUUGGGUAGGGGAGCGUUCUGUAAGCCUGUGAAGGUGUGUCGUGAGGCAUGCUGGAGGUAUCAGAAGUGCGAAUGCUGACAUAAGUAACGA